UACGUAGGGUGCGAGCGUUGUCCGGAAUUAUUGGGCGUAAAGAGCUUGUAGGCGGUUUGUCGCGUCUGCUGUGAAAUUUCGGGGCUCAACCCCGAACUUGCAGUGGGUACGGGCAGACUAGAGUGUGGUAGGGGAGACUGGAAUUCCUGGUGUAGCGGUGAAAUGCGCAGAUAUCAGGAGGAACACCGAUGGCGAAGGCAGGUCUCUGGGCCAGCUACUGACGCUGAGAAGCGAAGCAUGGGGAGCGAACAGG
rnacentral:rRNA from 1 species